CAGAGACAGAGUUCAGGAUCAGUGCAUGAUGCAAAACAUCAGAAUUCUUCGUAAUUCAUCAGAUUACAAGAUGGCAUCUGAGUGAUUGGCUGCUCAUGUGCUAGAUUUGUUUGUGUUUUGUCUGUUUCUGAGCUUUCAUUCGAAAAAAUAGUCUAUGCUGGAAUAUGAUCACCAAACAUUGUUAAAUCUCCAGCACUGUCACCAUAAACUAGUUCCAUUUAAAAGUGGUGGACAUUUAAACUUUACUUUGCUUCUGGCAGGAUUUCCUGCCGACCUGCACAGAGUUCUACCCUCAUGGCGUCACUGCAUUGGACCCAUUUGAUGCCUGCCUGGUGCACUCGGUCGGCUUUGAUCCACUUGCUGGCUCAUCGGUCAUCCUUUCUAAAGGUUGUGAUGCCCGUUGGUCUCCCUUUCCUGUCUUCUCCACCCCAACCGGUUGAGGUAGAUGGCCACCCUCCCCAGUCCAGGUGCUGCUGGAGCUAUUUCCUUCCUGUUAUUCUUUCUUCUUUGACAAAGGCUGUCAUCGUCUGAUUGACAAACAACUCAUGGAGACAUUUAAGCAAGAAUAGC